rnacentral:rRNA from 1 species
CGCGUAGGCGGUCUGCUAAGUUGGAUGUGAAAAACUCUGGGCUUAACCCCAGAGCCUGCAUUCAAUACUGACAGGCUAGAGUUCUGGAGGGGAUAGCGGAAUUCCUGGUGUAGCGGUGAAAUGCGUAGAUAUCAGGAGGAACACCGGGUGGCGAAGGCGGCUAUCUGGACAGAGUCUGACGCUGAGGCGCGAAGCAGGGAGCAAACA